UCUUCCCCUCAGGGGCCAGGCGCCGUCAUCCCCUCAGGGGCCGGGCGCCAUCUUCCCUGAGGGCGCAUCGAGGAGAACUCAACAGCCCGAGCUGUGCGGUACAUCUUCCUGCACCUUCCUUCUAAAAUGUGCUCACGGGCAAGGCAGGGCAGCUUGCAAACUGCAUCCCAGAUUCAGUAUUAUUUGGAGACGACACAAAACCGUGAGUUUUUUUCCGUACAGAACCACAGAACUGCAGGGGACUCCUGGUGUCUGUGGUCGUUCAUUCACCUGCCCAAGACUCUGGAUGAAGGCACUGCCUUGGCCCCAGUUCAGGUGGCUGCACACAAAAACUUAAUAAUGAAAAAGCAAAUACAGGAGGAAAUUCUUCAAAUCCAAAAGUCCCCAUCCCUUCCUCUGCACUCUGGAGGCUGUAGCAGAAGUGUUUCACUGGAGAGUUGUUAAAGGAGCUGGGCACUGACGGCCUGCACACUGUUCUCCCACUUCAGAGGGGCAUGGCUUGGAAAGUAUUUUAUGGUCAGUGGAAAAAAAUGAGGAAGAGGAGGGUGUGGCUGCUGGUGGGAGGCUCUGGCUCUGCAGAGGGUCACUGCCUUGUGGAGAUGGGACGUUCAUCAGGACGAAACGGAGCCGCCUUUUAGGAAAUGUGUGUUGAUCCUCUGAAGCCGAAUCCUCAGGCAUUUGUGGCCCGUCCUUGCAGCCCGGUCCAGCUGGAGCCCUUGGAAGCACAUCACUCCCUGUGGAGCUGCUGCGGCGUUCCCGAGGCCUGUGCCCACGGAUCCAGCAUGGAGAGCCCCAUCUCCAGCAGCCAGGUGGAGCAGACACCCAGGGAAGAGGCACUUCGGUGUGGGACAGAGCUCAAAUGUCAGUGCCCCUUCCGCCAUGGCCUAUCAGCCUGGAUGUAGUCACCCUGUCAGAAGUAUGAAAUUUACAGCAGAAGAAUUAAUUUAACACCAAAAAAGCUCUCCCUCAUCUGAACUGUCAUUCAAAAUGCACAAUGAAAAUCACCAAGGAGAAGUUUUCUAUCCCACUGUCUGCAGGACUCCUGGAAGAAUCUUCUGAAACUUGUGGAAGUGGUCUAUUCCAAGAACUCUAAUAUAUGAAGUCUUGUUAAGGUCUCGUUCAGUCUCUGCAGGCUGAAGUUCAUUUUUUGAAGAAGAAACACAGUUAACAGUAAAAUCAGUUCGUAGGUAGGAUGUUGCCAGCCUGGUCGUUUCACUUCUUGCAUGUGCUCAGUUGGAAGUCAACUGAAAAUCAGCAGAAGCUUCCAGCACAUCUGUCUUGGACUGCCCUUAAAAAGACGAAGCAGUGAUCUGGCAAAAUGAACUCAAAACACACAAGGAGGAGCCAUUGGAGACUAACCUGCAAGGUGUUCAGAUUCACUGAUAACAUGGAAACCAGAGUCUGUUAACCACUGGCUAUUCCAGAUACAAUGUCAAAGCCAACAAGGAGACUUGAAGUAGUGUGACUCAAAAAAAGAAGUAUUUUGGAUCAGCAAGAAACAGUGAUGUUUUUAGUCAUGAACGUGGCAGGACCACCGCAUUGGACCAAACUGCCCAACAUCAUUUCAUAAAGAAUGACUUACUGGGGAGCCAAGUUAGAAAAUGAAAGAAGUGAAGAUUGGUCAUCUCUGCAGAGGAAAUGACAAGAGUAACUUCAAACACAGCUACUGUGACCUGUGGCUCCUUCUGGUCCAUAAAGAACUGGAGACACAACACAAACAGGCCAGCACAGACAGCACCAGAUGGCCCUCAGAACUGGAGCAGGUUUCAUCUCCCCUGGACUGUGGCCUCACCCUGAUUUCUGGGCAUUAGGAUCUGGUGGUCCUCACCUCUGCCUUGGAGACCUCAGACAUGCAGGCUGAAUAUUUUUUGCUCUCUCACCUAGCACUGCACCUGAAACUGAAAGUGAAGUCCAGAUAUAUUAAAGACAGGCAAUGAAAUUCCUGGAACAUACUCAGGGUUUCCAGAAGCUUGCCACUGUUUGGAUCUAUCUUUCUGUCUUCUUAGAGUCCCUGGAAUCAGCUGUAAGUGUAGGUUCUUCAUCCAAAA